rnacentral:rRNA from 1 species
GACGAACGCUGGCGGCGUGCUUAACACAUGCAAGUCGAACGGAAAGGCCCUGCUCUUGCGGGGUGCUCGAGUGGCGAACGGGUGAGUAACACGUGAGUAACCUGCCCUUGACUUUGGGAUAACUUCAGGAAACUGCGGCUAAUACCGGAUAGGAGCUCCUGCUGCAUGGUGGGGGUUGGAAAGUUUCGGCGGUUUGGGAUGGACUCGCGGCUUAUCAGCUUGUUGGGGGGGUAGUGGCAUACCAAGUCUUUGACGGGUAGCCGGCAUGGGAGGGGGGCCGGCGACAUGAGGACUGAGGGAGGGCCCAGUGUGCUAUGGUAGGCAAUGGGGGGAAAUAUUGCACAGUGAGCGCAAGUCUGAUACGGCGGCGCUCCGUGCGGGAUGCCGUCUUUCGAGUUAUGAACCGCUGUCGCCUGAGACGAAGCGUGAGUGACGGUAAUGGGUAAAGAAGCACCGGCUAACUACGUG